rnacentral:rRNA from 1 species
UACGGGGGGGGCAAGCGUUGUUCGGAAUUACUGGGCGUAAAGGGCGUGUAGGCGGCUCGGCAAGUCGGGUGUGAAAGCCCUGGGCUCAACCUAGGAAGUGCACUCGAAACUGCCAAGCUUGAGUUCUGGAGAGGAAGGCGGAAUUCUCGGUGUAGAGGUGAAAUUCGUAGAUAUCGAGAGGAACACCGGUGGCGAAGGCGGCCUUCUGGACAGCAACUGACGCUGAGACGCGAAAGCGUGGGGAGCAAACAGG